rnacentral:rRNA from 1 species
UGGGGGAUAUUGCACAAUGGGCGAAAGCCUGAUGCAGCGACGCCGCGUGGGGGAUGAAGGCCUUCGGGUUGUAAACUUCUUUUGCUCUGAACAAGGCGCACCAUGGGGUGUGUUGAGUGUAGGGGUUGAUUAGCGCCGGCUAACUACGUGCCAGCAGCCGCGGUAAUACGUAGGGCGCGAGCGUUGUCCGGAAUUAUUGGGCGUAAAGGGCUUGUAGGUGGCUGGUUGCGUCUGUCGUGAAAGCUCAUGGCUUAACUGUGGGUUUGCGGUGGGUACGGGCUGGCUUGAGUGCAGUAGGGGAGGCUGGAAUUCCUGGUGUAGCGGUGGAAUACUCAGAUAUCAGGAGGAAUACCGGUGGCGAAGGCGGGUCUCUGGGCUGUUACUGACACUGAGGAGCGAAAGCAUGGGGAGCGAACAGG